AUUGAACGCUGGCGGCAGGCCUAACACAUGCAAGUCGAGCGAGCGGCGGACGGGGGAGCAAUGUAUGGGGACUGCCCGUUAGAGGGGGAUAACUACUGGAAACGGUAGCUAAUACCGCAUACUAUCGGAUAACCCAUAUGGGAUUAGCUAGUAGGUGAGGUAAUGGCCCACCUAGGCGACGAUCCCUAGCUGGUCUGAGAGGAUGAUCAGCCACACUGGGACUGAGACACGGCCCAGGCUCCUACGGAGGCAGCGGUGGGGAAUAUUGCACAAUGGGCGCAAGCCUGAAGCAGCCAUGCCGCGUGGAUGAAGAAGGCCCUAGGGUUGUAAGGUACUUUCAGUCGGGAGGCGUUACCGACAGAAGAAGCACCGGCUAACUCCGUGCAAGCGGCCGCGUAAUUC
rnacentral:rRNA from 1 species